CGUGCAGCCAAAGGACCGGAUCCAUGUUCCCUGAUGUGGCUGGUUGGCUCUCAGAGCUUUGGUUUGCCUGGGCUGAGACCAAAGACCACAAUAAAAGGCUUUGGUCUUGGGCCCAGAGCUUUCUCAGAGCUCUCAAAGUCCUGCCCAACCAUGUCUCUGCUUUCUCCUACAUGGAAAUACCAAAAUACUUGGUUUGGAAGCAUAAAAAUGAUUAAAUGCCACCAAGCUUACCCCAAAACAAACUGAUUAAAUGCUCCCAAGUCCG
rnacentral:lncRNA from 1 species